CAGCUGUGAAUCCUGGGAGGGGAAGGGUGGCCGCCCCGCCAGCAGAGAGCUGAAGGUGUUCCGUGGUCAGUGAGGGCUGGCACUGGCUCUGCACGAAGAUCUCCUCACCUCCCCAGCGGCUCCUGGCCAGCUCCCCACGGAGAGCCCAGGACACUUGUCCCUGGACACAGUGGUGCAGCCAUGCUUGGGCCAAACCAUGAGGCCACCAGAACCGCGAAAGGCUACUCUACUGAGAGGGAUACUGCGAGAGAGGCCCACGGGUUUCCAAGCAUCCCUCUCACUCCGCACACUCAUCUCCACGACCGGCUUUUAAGUGCGGCCUUGAGGCCUGGCUCCCUGUUUGGACUUCUCUGCACCUCCAGGAGCUCCCUUCCCGUCACAGCUGGAUGCCUCCUCCCGCAGGCACCUCCCCGGCAUCCUCCCGCCCCAGGCUGCAGCUUCUGUGGGACUGACCCCCGCAGGCACCUCCCCGGCAUCCUCCCGCCCCAGGCUGCAGCUUCUGUGGGACUGACCUUAAGACCCCAUCGGUUCCUCCUGAGAGCAGCAGAUCUCAGCCAGAUGCUGCCGGGAGGGAGGUGCUAGCGUCCACACCCAGACAGGGGUCCAGUCCAGCCCUGCUCUCCCUGGUCUCCAGGCAGGGCCCUCCCAGGGUGGACAUUGCCCAUCUCUGCCUGGCCAGGGGCUGCUGACCCACUGGUUCCAGAGUCUGAGCCUGUCCUGCACAAGUACCAUGGACAGGGGUCAGCCGGGCACUGAAGAGACGUGGCAGAAUUGGGCAGGGCAAGGGCCCCAGCUGGCAAGCUGGAGUCAGGGCAAUUCCAACCAAGAAACUGCGGCAGGCUGGGUGCAGUGUCUCAAGCCUAUAAUCCCAGCACUUUGGGAGGCAGUGGGAGAAUCGCUUGAGCCCGGGAGUUUGAGACCAGCAUUGGUAACAUAGAGACACCCUAUCGCUACAAGAAAAAAAAAAAAAAAAAA
rnacentral:antisense_RNA from 1 species